rnacentral:rRNA from 1 species
CCUACGGGAGGCUGCAGUGGGGGAUAUUGCACAAUGGGGGGAACCCUGAUGCAGCGACGCCGCGUGGGUGAAGAAGCGCCUCGGCGCGUAAAGCCCUGUCAGCAGGGAAGAAAAUGACGGUACCUGAAGAAGAAGCCCCGGCUAACUACCUGCCAGCAGCCGCGGUAAUACGGAAGGUCCGGGCGUUAUCCGGAUUUAUUGGGUGUAAAGGGAGCGUAGGCCGCAUGUUAAGCGUGCCGUGAAAUGCCGUGGCUCAACCAUGGCACUGCGGCGCGAACUGGCUUGUUUGAGUGCGCGGAACGUAUGCGGAAUUCGUGGUGUAGCGGUGAAAUGCUUAGAUAUCACGAAGAACUCCGAUUGCGAAGGCAGCAUACGGCAGCGCUACUGACGCUGAAGCUCGAAGGCGCGGGUAUCGAACAGGAUUAGAUACCCCAGUAGUC